UCGCCCCGCCCCUUCCCUGAAUAGCCAAUGGCCACCCCAGUAGGCUUGAGCCCGCCCUCCCGCCUACGCAAGCACGAGGGGGCUGGGACCGGCAGGCCGGAAGUCUGGGCGGGGACGGUGGCCCCGAGGGAACCUCCGCGGCCGAGUUUCCGGCCCGUCACUCUGGCAGGCAGCCUUUUUUUGACUCCGCCUGUGGUAGCCAUUGUUUUCCCUGAGGAGUAAACCGGAGUGACGAGCAUUAGCAGGGCAGAUGCCACCCCGACUUUACCGGACUUCUUGCGGCGGAAUAAUUAUUCCGAUUUAUGGAGAAAGUGGCAAAGCUCAUACCGAGUCGUGCGUCCUCCGCCCACGUCCCCCCUGCGGUCCCCGCACCGAGAGCCGGACUCCGUGCGUGGCCGCGCCUUUCCCGCUCCCUGUGUGCGGGUCUAACCCAGAGCACCUGUCAGACCCGAGGUGAGUGUCUCGGCUUUGUGAGACCCUUUUGCUUGAAGAGGCCACUGAGGUCCCUGCGGGAGGUGAGUAGCAGGACAGGAAGGUCCUGGCCAGCCAGGCCCUUGAUCCUGGGCCCCCCUUGCCUUUGGGCCCUCUGCUGUGGUUGUCCGACACCAGCUUCCCCAGAAGCCCUAGAAGUGCUUUCUUCAGAGAGCCUUCCUGUGCAGCUCAAAGUGUCGCCGCCAGCAGCUGCUGAUGCACGUCCUUAAGUGCUUGUGCUGCUUUUUCUGGAAGUUGAUUCCCCAAAGCAGGAUUGCUGGGUGGUGGUGGGGGUCUACACAGUUUUGAUUUUCUCAUGUAUCAGUGGGUACGUUUUUUCAAAGGAUGUGGUUCUAACCUCUGCACUGUGUGCUGGAGUGCUCUUCCUGCAGCUCCUGGGCAGCCCAGGACAGGACCCGUUUCUAAUUUCAUAGCUAGUAGUGGAGCUGCUGGUUGCUUCACAUGUCUCUGUUUCAUGAAUGUUCGUCUCAGUUACUAAUUUUGUUUUAACUUUUUUAUUCUUUUUGGUACCAGGGAUUGAACUCAAGGCACUCAACCGCUGACCCAUAUCCCCAGCUCUAUUUUGUAUUUUAUUUAGAGACAGGGUCUCACUGAGCUGCUUAGCACUUCACUUUUGCUGAGGUUGGCUUUGAACUUUUGAUCCUCCUGCCUCAGCUUCCUGAGCCACUGGGAUUAUAGGCUCCACCGAGCCCUGCUUCAGUUGCUAAUUUUUAAAUUGAGCCUUUUGUUGUCUAUAGAAGUUUUUGCAGAUUAUAUUCAUGUGUUGAGAAUAAUGUAUUUCUUUGCUGUAUGUAUCACACAGAGUUUCGCAGAUUAAAAACUUGUUUUUUGACUGCA